rnacentral:rRNA from 1 species
UACAGAGGGUGCAAGCGUUAAUCGGCGUUACUGGGCGUAAAGCGUGCGUGGGUGGUUUGUUAAGUCAGGCGUGAAAUCCCUGGGCUCAACCUGGGAACUGCGUUUGAUACUGGCAGACUCGAGUGUGGUAGAGGGUAGUGGCAUUCCGCAUGUAGCAGUGAAAUGCGUAGAUAUGCGGAGGAACACCAGUGGCGAAGGCGGCUACCUGGACCAACACUGACACUGAGGCACGAAAGCGUGGGGAGGAAACAGG